rnacentral:lncRNA from 1 species
GCCACCAAGAAUACUGAGCCUUCAUCUAUAUUCCACAUAGGUUUGCACUAAACAUAAUAGUGAAAUACAAGUGUUUUGUAGACAGAAAUGUAAGAACUUGUGACCCCAAAACAGACAAUAUGUUAGGGAGUUUUGUGUAUAUGUAUACCUUGAAGAGCACCAGAACCUGACGCAUGUCUUGAUAUGCGCAGCCUUUUAUCUCUUCAGACAAUGACAUUUAGAAUGUUUGAUUUCUUGUUGGCAUUGAUUUUCAAAUUAAAACUAUCCAACCAACCAAUUUCUGGUAUAUAUAGUGUAGCUAGAACAUACUGUAAAAGCCCAAUUUUAGCUCAGGCCCAAAAUCCAAACCAAAUUAAACCUAACUUAAACAGACCCAAAAACAAUUCACAGCCCAAAUACAAGCUCAACUACUCAAACCCUAAUGGCCCAAAUGGCCCACUACAGUAAGCUAGCAGGAAACCCUAGCUAUUGCUCAUGCGCCGCUCCCAUGUGCUGCCGUACCCAUUCCUUUGCCGCCGUCAGCUCAAAUGGCGCUCCUGCCAACUGCUCCCCUUGACACUUCCGUCAACGCCUGCAAACACGAAUCAGAGAAAAAAAAGAUUGUAUCAAAAAGAAAUUUUUGAAAGAAGAGUAAGAGAAAAACAGUUUCUAAAGGUGAUUGUUUUUUGAUUUUUUAUUUUUAGCGUUUUUUGUUUCUUCUUCUUUUUAAUCGGUUUUUUUCCCUUUUUAAAAAAAAAACUAUUAGUACAGUAAAAAGAAAAGAGGGUUACCUGAGUCGCCCCGUCGUUCCCCCAUCCACGCCGUCACCGGAGCUCGUUCACUUCGUCGGAAUUGAAGUUGAAGAGAGGCAGUUUUAGCCUUUUAGUUUUGUUAAAAAAUGGGAGUGUCUGUUGAGGUUUAGGGUUUGUUAGAACCAUUAUUUUUCAUUAAAACGGUGCCGUUUAGACUCUGUUUCAACGGUCUAAAACGGUGCCGUAUUAGGGCCAGUUCUUUAUUGCUUUUCAGAAGUGCUUUUGAGAAAUUUGAUUGUGUU